rnacentral:rRNA from 1 species
GAUGAACGCUGGCGGCGUGCCUAAUACAUGCAAGUCGAGCGAACAGAUGAGGAGCUUGCUCCUCUGACGUUAGCGGCGGACGGGUGAGUAACACGUGGAUAACCUACCUAUAAGACUGGGAUAACUUCGGGAAACCGGAGCUAAUACCGGAUAAUAUAUUGAACCGCAUGGUUCAAUAGUGAAAGACGGUUUUGCUGUCACUUAUAGAUGGAUCCGCGCCGCAUUAGCUAGUUGGUAAGGUAACGGCUUACCAAGGCAACGAUGCGUAGCCGACCUGAGAGGGUGAUCGGCCACACUGGAACUGAGACACGGUCAAGACGCCUAAGGGAGGCAGCAGUAGGGAAUCUGCCGCAAUGGGCGAAAGCCUGACGGAGCAACGCCGCGUGAGUGAUGAAGGUCUUCGGAUCGUAAAACUCUGUUAUUAGGGAAGAACAAAUGUGUAAGUAACUAUGCACGUCUUGACGGUACCUAAUCAGAAAGCCACGGCUAACUACGUG